rnacentral:lncRNA from 1 species
CAACCGGCGGUUUUUCUACAGGUGGAUUUGCUAUAGGUGGAGUUGCAACAGGCGGUUUUGCGGUAGGUGGAGUUGCUAUUGGUGGCAUUGCAACAGGUGGAGUUGCGGUGGGCGGUGUUGUCGUUGGAGGUUUUGCAAUAGGAGGAGUUGCAACUGGUGAAGUUGCGGUGGGCGGUGUUACAACCGGUGGUGUUGCAAUAGGAGAAGUUGCAAUAGGUGGAGUUGCGGUGGGCGGUGUUGCAACUGGCGGUUUUGCGACGGGUGGAGUUGCUAUUGGUGGAAUUGCAACAGGCGGUUUUGCGGGUGGUGGAGUUUUUAUAGGUGGUAUUGCAACUGGUGGUUUUGCAACAGGAGAAGUUGCAAUUGGUGGUGUUGCGGUGGGCGGUGUUGCAACUGGCGGUUUUGCGAUGGGUGGAGUUGCUAUUGGUGGAGUUGCAACAGGAGGUUUUGCGGGUGGUGGAGUUGUGAUAGGUGGUGUUGCGGCUGGUGGUGUUGCAACUGGUGGUUUUGAAAUAGGAGGAGUUAAGAUUGGUGGCUUUGCGGUAGGUGGAGUUGCUAUUGGUGGUGUUGCAACCGGUGGUUUUGCAACAGGUGGAGUUGCGGUGGGCGGUGCUGUAGUGGGUGGUGUUGCAACUGGUGGUUUUGCAAUAGGAGGAGUUGCAACUGGUGGUGUCGCGGUGGGCGGUGUUGCAACCGGUGAUUUUGCAAUAGGAGGAGUUGCAAUAGGUGGUGUUGCGGUGGGCGGUGUUACAACUGGGGGUUUUGCGACGGGUGGAAUUGCUAUCGGUGGAGUUGCAAUAGGCGGUUUUGCGGUAGGUGGAGUUGCUAUUGGUGGCAUUGCAACAGGUGGAGUUGCAGUAGGCGGUAUUGUCGUUGGAGGUUUUGCAAUAGGAGGAGUUGCAACUGGUGGAGUUGCGGUGGGCGGUGUUACAACCGGUGGUGUUGCAAUAGGAGGAGUUGCAAUAGGUGGAGUUGCGGUGGGCGGUGUUGCAACUGGCGGUUUUGCGACGGGUGGAGUUGCUAUUGGUGGAAUUGCAACAGGCGGUUUUGCAGGUGGUGGAGUUUUUAUAGGUGGUGUUGCAACUGGUGGUUUUGCAACAGGAGAAGUUGCAAUUGGUGGUGUUGCGGUGGGCGGUGUUGCAACUGGCGGUUUUGCGAUGGGUGGAGUUGCUAUUGGUGGAGUUGCAACAGGAGGUUUUGCGGGUGGUGGAGUUGUGAUAGGUGGUGUUGCGGCUGGUGGUGUUGCAACUGGUGAUUUUGAAAUAGGAGGAGUUGAGAUUGGUGGCUUUGCGGUAGGUGGAGUUGCUAUUGGUGGUGUUGCAACCGGUGGUUUUGCAACAGGUGGAGUUGCGGUGGGCGGUGUUGUAGUUGGUGGUGUUACAACUGGUGGUUUUGCAAUAGGAGGAGUUGCAACUGGUGGUGUCGCGGUGGGCGGUGUUGCAACCGGUGAUUUUGCAAUAGGAGGAGUUGCAAUAGGUGGUGUUGCGGUGGGCGGUGUUACAACUGGGGGUUUUGCGACGGGUGGAAUUGCUAACGGUGGAGUUGCAACAGGUGGUUUUACUGGUGUUGGAGUUGUUAUAGGUGGUGUUGCGGCUGGUGGUGUUGCAACUGGUGGUUUUGAAAUAGGAGGAGUUGAGAUUGGUGGCUUUGCGGUAGGUGGAGUUGCUAUUGGUGGUGUUUCAACUGGUGGUUUUGCAACAGGUGGAGUUGCGGUGGGCGGUGUUGUAGUGGGUGGUGUUGCAACCGGUGGUUUUUCAAUAGGAGGAGUUGCAACUGGUGGAGUCGCAGUGGGCGGUGUUGCAAUUGGCGAUUUUGCGAUGGGUGGAGUUGCAACAGGUGGUUUUGCGGGUGGUGGAGUUUUUAUUGGUGAUGUUGCGGUUGGUGGUGUUGCAACUGGUGAUUCUGAAAUAGGAGGAGUUGAGAUAGGUGAUUUUGAGGUAGGUGGAGUUGCUAUUGGUGGUGUUGCAACAGGUGGAGUUGCGGUGGGCGGUGUUGCAACUGGUGGCUGUGCAAUUGGAGUGACGGGUGGAGUUACUAUUGGUGAAAUUGCAACAG